rnacentral:rRNA from 1 species
GACGAACGCUGGCGGCGUGCUUAACACAUGCAAGUCGAACGGAAAGGCACUGCUUUUGUGGGGUGCUCGAGUGGCGAACGGGUGCGUAUCACGUGAGUAACCUGCCCUUGACUUUGGGAUAACUUCAGGAAACUGGGGCUACUCUCGGAUAGGAGCUCCUGCUGCAUGGUGGGGGUUGGAAAGUUUCGGCGGUUGGGGAUGGACUGGCGGCUUAUCAGCUUGUUGGUGGGGUAGUGGCUUACCAAGGCUUUGACGGGUAGCCGGCCUGAGAGGGUGACCGGGCUCAUGGGGACUGAGAGACGGCCCAGACUCCUACGGGAGGCAGCAGGGGGGAAUAUGGCACAAUGGGCGGAAGCCUGAUGCGGCAACGCCGCGGGCGGGAUGACGGCCUGCGGGUUGUAAACCGCUUUCGCCUGUGACGAAGCGGUAGUGACGGUAAUGAGUAAAGAAGCACCGGCUAACUACGUG